GACAGAGGCCUCAAGCGUUAGGCGGAAUCACUGGGCUUAAAGCGUGUGUAGGCGGAUCGUUAAGUGUCUUGUGAAAUCCCACGGCUCACCCGUGGAACGGCUGGGCAUACUGCCUGUCUUGAGCCAACUAGGGGCGAGCGGAACAGACGGUGGAGCGGUGAAAUGCGUAGAUAUCGUCUGGAACGCCGAAGGUGAAAACAGCUCGCUGGGGUUGUGCUGACGCUGAGACACGAGAGCCAGGGGAGCGAACGGG
rnacentral:rRNA from 1 species